rnacentral:lncRNA from 1 species
CCUUUUAUCUUUCCGACCUAUCCAGCUCGGCUUCCACUUUUAAAGCUCGGUCCAGAGCAUCCCGGUAGUUUAUAAAGAGGUGUGAGGAUAAUUGGGAUCUGAUUUUGCAUUUCAGCCCCUGCUCGAAUCGAUUCGCUUUACUCGUCUCAUCUUCCAUAAACUGGGGGCAGAAUCGGCCUAGCUCAUUAAACUUGUUGGCGUACUCCAGGACAGUCAUGUACUUGAACUGAGCCAGUGAUAGGAACUCGUUUUGUUUUGC